rnacentral:rRNA from 1 species
ACGAGUUUGAUCAGUGGCUCAGAGCGAACGCUAGCGGCGGGCUUAACACAUGCAAGUCGAGCGGAGAGCUUCGGCUCUCAGCGGCGAACGGGUGAGUAACACGUAGGUCACGUACCCUUUGAUGGGGAAUAACCUAGGGAAACCUGGGCUAAUACCGCAUAUGUCCUUCGGGAUGAAAGCCUUCGGGCGUCAGAGGAUCGGCCUGCGGCCCAUUAUUUAAUCCUAGUUGGUAGGGUAAUGGCCUACCAAGGGUACGAUGGGUAGCUGGUCUGAGAGGAUGAUCAGCCACACUGGAACUGAGACACGGUUCAGACUCCUACGGGAGGCAGCAGUGGGGAAUAUUGGACAAUGGGCGAAAGCCUGAUCCAGCCACGCCGCGUGGGUGAUGAAGGCCUUCGGGUUGUAAAGCCCUGUCGGGAGGGACGAAUCAAUGACGGUACCUCCCAAGAAAGCACCGGCUAACUCCGUG